AACUUGGUCCAGUUCAAUCAAGCCAUCAACAGCCAGGUGGCUUUAGUGGCCACUAUGCAUAUUACCCCAUGCCUAAAGGUUCUGGUACAAGAGCUUCUCUAUAAGUUGCACAUUGCCAUAGUGGAAGACGGCAUGGGAGAUUUGGUGGCAAACACUUACGGUGCAAUAAUAGCUGUUUUUCCUAUAUCAUGACAAUAUGUGGCACACUUCUAGACUCAUUUCAUGCCAAAGAAGUUCCUCAGAAGGGUAAGGAAAUGGAGAAUCUUACAUGGUCCAAUGCAGUCCCCAAGAAGUAAUUUUGAAUGGACAGUUACACUGGUUACUACAAUGCUGUCUCUGACCUUCUCAGGAUCGAAGAUAAUCAUGAGUAUCAAGGUGGAGAUGGGUCUAGGCGAGAGAAAAGGAAGUAGUGGUUCUUGAGAAGAAUUGUAUGGCCAAGAUAAGCUUGAACUAUCUCUCCUCUUCCAGUUCCUGCAACUUCUUAUUGCCUGAUUGAGGUCAUUACCCUAUGGUGGUAAUGACAUCAGCAAUGUAAUAAAUUCUCUCGUGGCUUUGUAUCUGGUUUAUAACAUGGGAAAUGUUUCCUCAAGAGUGGUGAUGCCAGUAUGGCUUCUGCUCUCUGGUGGUGUUGGAAUCUGCAUUAGUCUGUGGGUUUGGAGGAGAGUGAUUCAGGCCAUGGGGAAGAAUCUGACACUGUAACACCCUCUCGUGCCUUCGGUACUGGACUGGCUCCUGCCCCCUCACUAUGGUGAUUGCAUCAAAUAUCGGCCUCCCCAUCAGUACAACACGUUGUAACAUGGGCUCCUUUGUACCUGGCUUUAAUCCAAGAAAGUUGUUGACUUGACUCUUUCGUGAUAUUGUAUAGCCUGGUUUGUCACAGUCUUUAUUUCUGGAAUUGUCAGUGCUGCCAUCUUGGCUGUCUUCAAGUAUGUCAUCCUC
rnacentral:lncRNA from 1 species